rnacentral:rRNA from 1 species
GACGAACGCUGGCGGCGUACUUAACACAUGCAAGUCGAACGGAAAGGCCCUGCUUUUGUGGGGUGCUCGAGUGGCGAACGGGUGAGUAACACGUGAGUAACCUGCCCUUGACUUUGGGAUAACUUCAGGAAACUGGGGCUAAUACCGGAUAGGAGCUCCUGCUGCAUGGUGGGGGUUGGAAAGUUUCGGCGGUUGGGGAUGGACUCGCGGCUUAUCAGCUUGUUGGUGGGGUAGUGGCUUACCAAGGCUUUGACGGGUAGCCGGCCUGAGAGGGUGACCGGACACAUUGGGACUGAGAUACGGCCCAGACUGCUACGGGAGGCAGCAGUGGGGAAUAUUGCACAAUGGGCGGAAGCCUGAUGCAGCAACGCCGCGUGCGGGAUGACGGCCUUCGGGUUGUAAACCGCUUUCGCCUGUGACGAAGCGUGAGUGACGGUAAUGGGUAAAGAAGCACCGGCUAACUACGUG